UCCCUGAUGAUUCAGUCAGUAAAGAAUCUGCCUGCAAAGCAGAAGACCCAGGUUCGAUCCCUGGGUUGGGAG
rnacentral:tRNA from 1 species